GACGAACGCUGGCGGCGUGCCUAAUACAUGCAAGUAGAACGCUGAAGAGAGGAGCUUACUCUUCUUGGAUGAGUUGCGAACGGGUGAGUAACGCGUAGGUAACCUGCCUUGUAGCGGGGGAUAACUAUUGGAAACGAUAGCUAAUACCGCAUAACAAUGGAUGACACAUGUCAUUUAUUUGAAAGGGGCAAUUGCUCCACUACAAGAUGGACCUGCGUUGUAUUAGCUAGUAGGUGAGGUAAUGGCUCACCUAGGCGACGAUACAUAGCCGACCUGAGAGGGUGGUCGGCCACACUGGGACUGGGACACGGCCCAGACUCCUACGGGAGGCAGCAGUAGGGAAUCUUCGGCAAUGGGGGCAACCCUGACCGAGCAACGCCGCGUGAGUGAAGAAGGUUUUCGGAUCGUAAAGCUCUGUUGUAAGUCAAGAACGGGUGUGAGAGUGGAAAGUUCACACUGUGACGGUAGCUUACCAGAAAGGGACGGCUAACUACGUG
rnacentral:rRNA from 1 species